AGUUGUCCAACCAUGAGUGACGGAUACUGCUUCUUGCAAGUACGAUCGAGUUCGAUCUCCGAUGUCCAAAGUUAUUUUAUAAGUCGCUGCUGGUGUUGUGUGUGGUGGUGGGUGUAGCGAGGACUCGAGACCAGUUGACCUGCGACAACGCCAUCUCAGCAGAAUGCCCUCAAGUCGACACCACCCCGCCGAAGUACCUGGCCGACCCCUCCGACUGCGCUGGCUACUGCGAGUGCUCCAGCGGUAUCGCCUGGAGAUUCCACUGUGAGACUGAACUCUUGUUUAACGAAAAACUUUCCGUCUGCGACUGGCCAGAGCAUGUGGACUGCGGCUCUCGCCCAAUCCUCUAGUGAGGGUCGAAGGAGGCCACGGGAACCCCCUCCGGCCUGCUGCUACUAACGGAGGAGAAGCUGAGGUCUCACCACCACCACACCAACCUCACAGGCGUUCCUGUCUGUGGUACUUCUCGCAGAGUUGUAAUUCUGUAUAUUUUUAGGAAGUAUAAAAUGAUUUCAGUACGACAUUACUGUAGGGAAGAGAUAAAUUAUAUAUUUAUUUUAGGAUAAGUUUAUGUCUUACAGGAGUUAGGAUGUAGUUAUAUAAAUAUUUCCCCCUCCCUCUAUCUCUCUCUCUAGAGUGAUUGUAGUAUAUAUAUAUAUAUAUAUAUAUUUAUUAUGGAAACAGUAUAAUAAAUGGU